UCCCUCCCCUUUUCCCUUGUAUAGUGUAGUGUAUAUUCAGUGUACAUUAAACAGAAGGAUAUCAUGCUACUGUGAUCUUGUCUUUUAUUUCUGAAUGUGUUUGAGUUCCCCAUUUUAUUUCCACUGUUCAGUGACAGACACAGAGACUGCAUGCUUUUAAAUAAUACACAGGUAACAGACAUUAGACCUCGACAUACUUUAAUAGUCCACAAGCAAAUUAAUUACAGUAGCUUUGUUGCACAUACAAGUAAACCCUUGUAAAACCACAAAAAGAGACAAUUACAGAGCUUCAUAGAGAGCCAUGGCCACCUGGUCUAUCUAGUCUUUAUGUUGAGCCAAGCUGACUGAAAAAAGUCCCACAUGCUUGUCUAGUUACUGCAUUUUCCACGUGUAACAGGCCAGGCCAUGUUUAAACAACGAAGCAAAUCAGUGUGGAAUCAGUGACAAGGUGAACAAAGAUAAGCCCAACACAUGCACUGCAGAGUCACCUCAUUAUGGGACCAAAACAGAGAGAGGUUUAGAAUUUACAGAGCCCCAUCUGCAGUGAAAUCGUGAAGAUUCCUAUUGAUGAGAGUGGUGUAGGGGACAAAACUUACAAAAUGACCUGGACAAGGCGAAUAAGGAUAAGCCCAACACAUGCCCUGCAGAGUCACCUCAUUAUGGGACCACAACAGAGAGAGGUUUAGAAUUUACAGAGCCCCAUCUGCAGUGAAAUCGUGAAGAUUCCUAUUGAUGAGAGUGGUGUAGGGGACAAAACUUACAGAACGACCUGGACAAGGCGAACAAAGAUAAGCCCAACACAUGCCCUGCAGAGUCACCUCAUUAUGGGACCAAAACAGAGAGAGGUUUAGAAUUUACAGAGCCCCAUCUGCAGUGAAAUCGUGAAGAUUCCUAUUGAUGAGAGUGGUGUAGGGGACAAAACUUACAGAACAACCUGGACAAGGCGAACAAAGAUAAG